GCACUCGGAUCCACCGUCCGUCCCCCAAUCUUUCGAAUCUCCACCGUUAGAUCCGCCAGGUAUGGACGCGAGCUAAGGAGCUAGGGUUUCGUUUGGUAGCGAGCAUGGGGCGCCAUGGAGUUUCUAGGGUUUGUAGCGCCUGCUGGGAGCUGAGAUUGCGGCAGGCGCCUUGGCGCGGGUGUCCCGGGGCCUUGGAUUUCGAUUUCCAGCAUAGAUCUUUGCAGCUUACUUGAGCCGGGGCAUAGAUUUUCAACAGGUAUGGUAGAAAUCGCAAUUAGGAGCAGUAGCAGAUAGAUGGCAUCGAGCAAGGUCAAAGGCAGCAACAGCACGACUGAUGAUCCGCCCCACUCCUCCAUUUGUUCCUCUGGAGCGGACACGGACGACGAUGCGACGAAUCAAUUGCCUCCGGUGCAGGGGCGAAUUGGCGGGCCAACGAGGAGAUCUUCCAAAGGAGGCUGGACCGCUGACGAGGAUGAUGUUCUGAGACGAGCUGUGCAAUGUUUCAAGUCGAAGAAUUGGAAAAAGAUUGCCGCGUUUUUCAAAAAUCGUACCGAUGUGCAGUGCUUGCAUCGGUGGCAAAAGGUUUUAAAUCCCGACCUUGUGAAGGGUCCGUGGACGAAAGAGGAGGAUGAUAGGAUAAUUGAGCUGGUGAACAAGUAUGGUGCUAAGAAAUGGUCAGUCAUUGCGCAAAACUUGCCUGGACGGAUCGGAAAGCAGUGUCGAGAGAGAUGGCACAACCAUCUUAAUCCUAAUAUCAAAAGGGAUGCUUGGACUCAACAGGAAGAUCUUGCUCUAAUUUAUGCACACCAACGCUACGGAAACAAAUGGGCCGAGAUAGCGAAGUUUUUACCCGGAAGGACGGACAAUUCCAUCAAGAAUCACUGGAACAGUACCAUGAAGAAGAAGGUUGAUCCAGCACUUGCAAAUGACCCGAUUUCGAAAGCCCUCGCAGACUAUCAACUUCAAAUGGAGGCUAAGCAGGCACAAGCGGUCCCAAGGCCUCCGCAUCCCAAAAUUCCUCUGGCUCCCGGCUUUGAUCCAUCGCUUCGACAGAAAAGGAUUGCGUCUACGGAACCCGGACUGAUUUCUCAGCCACCUUCGGGAUUGUAUCCUGCGUAUUAUUUGUCGGGAGAGUGCUCCAUGGACGCAGCCAGUCAGCCUACAACGGAAGAUCUAGCUCAGUCCAACUCGCUCGACGUUUCGACUGCGACAGAACCAUCUGCAGCGGCAUAUGGACAGGAUCAGAAUAUGGUUGAGCACUUUGAACCGGUUUUCUCAUCGCUGAACGAGAUGAAGCUCGAAGAAAGUGCCGGGGAAGGGACUACCAAAGCAGAUGCCUCACAAGAAAUUACCGAGGAACAGGAUCUUCUUUUCUACGAACCGCCUCGCCUGGCCAGCUCGGACUUGCCUUUUAUGAACUAUGACCUCAGCAGUGCGCAUGAAGAGUACAGUCCUCUCGGGGUGAGACAGAUGAUAAUGCCGUUCGUGAAUUGUACAACACCGUUCACGUACUCUCCAUCCAGCUUCACCAGUCCCCAAGAAAAGCUGAGGUCUGCUGCAAAGAGUUUUGGAGGAACGCCUUCUAUAUUGCGAAAGAGACCGAGGCAGCUCUUGAGUCCUUCGCAGGCUGGUGGUGGUGACGGAGCCAAGUUUGCAGAGCCAAGGCUGACGGAUAAUGCUGGGAAUGCGGCCAGCAAAGCGGAAGGCAGCGCGGUUUUACUGUCUCCUCCUUACAACGUUUCUUCAAAGUUGUCUUCAAUAUCAGAGGCAAAUGAUAUUGGAGUGGACGAAUUUCGAAGACUCAGGCAGCACUUCCAGGCAUGCAGCGCUGAUAUCAACGCAGAGUGCAGUAAAGGCGACUCCGAGGAAUCUGCUCGUGGAGAAGGAGAGGUUAAGUCGAAGAGGGGAAGACUUGGCGAUGGUGGUGAUGCCUCAAGCGAGAAGCAACAAAUCCAGCAAACAUCGUCCUCUGAUCGGCCUCUUCUGUUGGAUCCUGGAGAAUCACCGCCACCCCAUAAAGCGAAGGGAAAAGCAAAGCUGACGAUCAAAACUCCUAGCCGGCUUGGCGUCUUGGGUCAGAGCACACUGAACUCCGCUAAUAAAUGUGAUCGUUUCUUCAGCGGUUUGUCACCACUUUCGAAGUCUCCGUGGAGGCUUGAUUCGUUCCUCUCCUUGGGAAAGGAUGGCUCGCCUUCGCUUCUUCAGCAGGGGAUGAAUUUGCCAAUGGAUGGUGGAGGAGACGACGCGCUGGGCAUUAUGAUGCACCUGAGCGAGCAUGCUGCCACAGCGUACUCGGACGCUGAGGAGGUGCUGGCCAAGGUACCGUCCUCUGAAAGCGCGGUCACCCCCAUUCCACUUCGUAAGAUGCGAAUGGAUGAAAACAUUUUCUCUCACGACUCCAAGGAGAACAUGACAGAGUCGGAUGACAACGCAGGGGGCACCUCGGGAUCGUUACUAAGUUGGCUCCUCCCUUUCCAAGCGGAGAUUUGCUCGCCAAACAUGGACCUGACGAACUUGCUCCGCGGACCACUGGCAGCCGACGACACGGGCCAAGCUGCUGCGGCGGGGCUGCUGGAUCCAUUCAGUCCGUCCAUGUAUCUCUUGAAAGAGUACCGGUAAUUUAUCAUCAUAUACCUCUAAAUCUCUCAGCUUCCAGGUUCUCUGUUUCCUCUCGAGGAAAGAGCCCCGCGGUGUCAAUCGACCGGAGCCUUCUAAUCUCCUCGUCGAGGCCCCGGAUUAUCCUGUCGUGGACGGUGUAGACUCCCGUUUGCAUUAUCUGUGAUAGGAAGGGCUCGCUGUCGUCAAACGAAGGAGCAACUAUGUGCUCCAUCGCUGCUAGUCUCUCGAAAAGCUCUCCUUUCGGUGGUGGUGGUGGCGGCGGCGGCGGCGGCGGCAGUGGAGGCUUUUGAGGCACUGGAUUGCGUUGCUCGGGCUCGGCAACUGCUGGAUGACUGGUUGCCGGGAUCACAGCUUCCUUGUGCUCCUUGGUCUCGUGCUUGCUUUCGUCAGCAGCGGUGGCAGCAGCAGCGGCGGCAGCUGCGGCGGCCGUGAGAGCCGUUUGCUCCUGUUGCUGGAGGCGCUCCACUUGUUCUUUCAGCUGCUUGAGCUCGAGCUUGUCUUGGCUAGCUGCGCGAAGAUGUUCCUGGAGCAUUGCCGUGAGAGCCGUCGUGUCCCGACCGCCGCUGCUAGGCCGCGGGGGCGGUGGCUCUUGCGAGCGCUUGCGCAUGUUUGCGAGUUCUUUGGCCAGCCGUAUCACCUGUGAGCAAAUCCCUCCCUCUAUUGAGUCAAAAGGAAAGAGAAAAGGUGGUGGAACUUUCUUGA